rnacentral:rRNA from 1 species
GACGAACGCUGGCGGCGUGCCUAAUACAUGCAAGUUGAGCGCUGGAGGUUGGUACUUGUACCGACUGGAUGAGCAGCGAACGGGUGAGUAACGCGUGGGGAAUCUGCCUUUGAGCGGGGGACAACAUUUGGAAACGAAUGCUAAUACCGCAUAACAACUUUAAACACAAGUUUUAAGUUUGAAAGAUGCAAUUGCAUCACUCAAAGAUGAUCCCGCGUUGUAUUAGCUAGUUGGUGAGGUAAAGGCUCACCAAGGCGAUGAUACAUAGCCGACCUGAGAGGGUGAUCGGCCACAGUGGGACUGAGACACGGCCCAAACUCCUACGGGAGGCAGCAGUAGGGAAUCUUCGGCAAUGGACGAAAGUCUGACCGAGCAACGCCGCGUGAGUGAAGAAGGUUUUCGGAUCGUAAAACUCUGUUGGUAGAGAAGAACGUUGGUGAGAGUGGAAAGCUCAUCAAGUGACGGUAACUACCCAGAAAGGGACGGCUAACUACGUGCCAGCAGCCGCCGUAA